AUUAUAACAAUGUUUAGACGAUGUUUGGAGGACUAUGAAUAGAAUGACAGUACCGAUGUGUGGUUCCCGCGAACUAGAAUUGUCGGUGGCAUAUCCCUCUAUACAACUGGGAAUACUUUGUUAUACGUACAUGACCACCAAGGAAGACUGACUCGAGUUCUCCAAUAGCAACUCUCGCAAUCGCAACUGCCGACGUGUUUUAUCUUGUAAGGCCUCAAGCUGAGAAUCGAUUUUUUUGAAUGUUCCAGUGCAUCGGUGUGUGAUCUUUGAUCACAUGCGUCGCGUGCGCAAGUGUAUCAAAUGAUGUAUCUGUAGAACCUAGAAAACAAAAUGAUAAAUUUGACGCAAAAAUAUAUGGCAAAUAUUUUAAGAGACCUGUAAUCUCUUAAUUUUGCAUGAUUACAGCUGCUAAUCAAUAGUUACAUAUUGAUCGAGAGAGACUGCUAUCGGCGUGCAUUAUACCGUUCCUUGUCAGAUCGUAGCUACUUUGCGUGAUAUUCUCGUCGGUUUCUUUCGCAUUCGUCAUGCCUGAACAGUCUAAACCUUCAGUGAGCCUCACAAUAGCUA